CACGUAGGGGGCAAGCGUUGUCCGGAUUUAUUGGGCGUAAAGAGCUCGUAGGCGGCUUAGUAAGUCGGGUGUGAAACCUCCAGGCUCAACCUGGAGACGCCACCCGAUACUGCUGUGGCUAGAGUCCGGUAGGGGAGCGUGGAAUUCCUGGUGUAGCGGUGAAAUGCGCAGAUAUCGGAAGGAACGCCGGUGGCGAAAGCGGCGUGCUGGACCUCUUCUGACGCUGAUGCGCGAAAGCCAGGGGAGCAAACGGG
rnacentral:rRNA from 1 species